rnacentral:rRNA from 1 species
CUACGGGAGGCAGCAGUGGGGAAUAUUGGACAAUGGGCGCAAGCCUGAUCCAGCCAUGCCGCGUGAGUGAAGAAGGCCCUUUGGGUUGUAAAGCUCUUUCAGCGGGGACGAUGAUGACGGUACCCGCAGAAGAAGCCCCGGCUAACUUCGCGCCAGCAGCCGCGGUAAUACGAAGGGGGCAAGCGUUGUUCAGAUUUACUGGGCGUAAAGGGCGCGUAGGCGGACGACCAUGUCAGAGGUGAAAGCCCCGGGCUCAACCUGGGAAUUGCCUUUGAAACGGGUUGUCUUGAGGACGGGAGAGGAUGGUGGAAUACCCAGUGUAGAGGUGAAAUUCGUAGAUAUUGGGUGGAACACCGGUGGCGAAGGCGACCAUCUGGCCCGUAACUGACGCUGAGGCGCGAAAGCGUGGGGAGCAAACAGGAUUAGAAACCCCAGUAGUCC